AUUGAACGCUGGCGGCAGGCCUAACACAUGCAAGUCGAGCGACCGGCGGACGGGUGAGUAAUGCCUGGGAAUUGCUCAGUCGAGGGGGAUAACAGAUGGAAACGACUGCUAAUACCACAUACGGUUGGAUCGCACAGGUGGGAUUAGCUAGUUGGUGAGGUAAUGGCUCACCAAGGCGACGAUCCCUAGCUGGUCUGAGAGGAUGAUCAGCCACACUGGAACUGAGACACGGUCCAGACUCCUACGGGAGGCAGCAGUGGGGAAUAUUGCACAAUGGGGGAAACCCUGAUGCAGCCAUGCCGCGUGUAUGAAGAAGGCCUUCGGGUUGUAAAGCACUUUCAGCGGGGAGGCGUUACCCGCAGAAGAAGCACCGGCUAACUCCGUGCCAGCCGCCGCGGUAAUUC
rnacentral:rRNA from 1 species